GAGAGCGCACAUGUAACAAGUAAAGAGCGUAUGUGAGGAUGCGUGGUGUGUCCAAUUGCUCAUUGUAUUAGUUUAAUUUCAUUAUUAUUUUAAUUAGUUACGUAGCCUUUAUUCAAUAGGAGAAGAACAUUAUAUUCAUUGUAUAAUUGAAUAUUGUAUAAGAAUUAGUAGAGAAUGAAUCAAUGCGUGUGUGCGUGCGUGUGUGUAUGUGUGUGUGUGUGUAUGCGCGUGCCAUUGUAUCUACGUAGCAGCGGUGUUUACUUCUCAACGUUCAGUUGCGGAGAAUGUUUCGAAGCAAGACGGAGAAAAAUGAAGUUUUAUUCCCUUCUCAACACGUUGCAUUAUUUCUUCGCAAACCUGGAGUAUGUCAUGGCAGAUAAUCAGGUUAACGUUAUGGAAGGACGACGAUAACCUUUACUCGGCUCGAUACGCAAGACGAGAAAAGGUUCUGCCACGAAAUGGGUCUAAAAUCAAUAAUGCAGCUAAUAACAAGCGUCGAAUCCCCUGAAGUGAUGACGUUACAUCCAAUUUAGAGCCUCGCAUGUACGAUACCAAAGCGUGCAGGCUUCUCUUUGUGGGAUUUAAAGGCGAUCGACCAGAAGUAAGAGAGCCAGGAGCCGACCUAAACACAAGUUCAAACUUCAGUUGCAUGAGAAGGAGGAUUCUCCAAUGCACCGUGUGUCUCAACUUCCUUUAAGAUGCGAUCGAGCACAUCCUCGACGAACAACUAGUCUCAGCUUACAGGAUUUAGAAAAGGAUUCGUAAAAGUUUGCGACCUUGACUACAAAUCGACAAAAUCAACCGCCAAGUUUCACGUUCACGUGUGUACGUUAUCGUCGCUUCGCUUGAUCAUUGAAUGGUAGGAACUUCGCAGAUUGUAAAGUGCACUCGGUUGUGUAAUUUGAUGGGGUCGGUUUCCCUUUGUCAAUUGAACAGAAUUUAUGAGUGUAAUGGAACUUAAUUAAAUUGCGACGGAUUUUUAGAUCUUUUUUAAAGAUUUAAUUUGGAGAACAUUCAUUUUCCAAUUGUGUUUUGUCUAUUAUAAAUUAAUAACAAAAUUGCGAAUAAUGUUAAUAUCGAUAUCAAAAUUAAUGAAUAAAUGAAGUAGUU
rnacentral:misc_RNA from 1 species